AUUUUUACUAUCCCUUUUCUACUUUCAGGUAUGUUUAGAUACACAAAUGCCACUGUGACAGGUACCUCCAGUAUUCAGGGCAGGACAGCUAUGCAGGGUGCAGGCUGGGGGCAAGAGGUGGUACCGUGUAACGUGAGUGUGUAACAGGCUCCGCCCUAAGUUGGUGUAAGUUCAGUAACUCGGAGGUGUGCACAUCCGGGAACUCACCUGGAGGUGCAUUUCUCAGAUGCGUCUCCUCUGGGUGUAACUCGCUGCUUUAAUCUCCAGCACCAGAAACAAACUAACACGGGAAUGUGCAUCUCUUCAUAAAGCAACGCGAGAUUGUGAACAAUGACUAUGCGCCAUUGUAUAGAUGAGGAAGCUCAUGCGCUUGGAGAGGCGGCCCGCUCAGCCCAGGUACAGGCAGAGGCAGAGCCAGGGACGGACCACAUGCAGCUCAUCCUUCCGGGGCUUCGCUGGGCAACAAUCAACCUGCUAACACGGUCUUUGAAACUUUUACGCUGAUAGCACAUCCCUGUUCACAUGAAUCCGGUUUGGCCGAUGAGUGGGCAGGAUAGCUACAGACCCUCUGAUUGGAAUUUACAGCCUGGAGAGAAGAACAUCAGGUAAAGAAUUUCCUAAGGAUGAGGGAUUCCAGCCAAGUGCCCAGUUACAGGAUGUGCUGGGCCCUCCUUUUACACAGCC
rnacentral:lncRNA from 1 species